AUGGUCAUUUUGUCUUGUUCUGCUGAAACCUGAGUGCUCUUGACUGCUGCCUCUUGGUGUUGGGAUGGGGAGAGUCAUCUAUCCAGACCCAGCUGCCACAGCUCUGCUUUUCCAAGCCAGCUCUCCUUGGGAAUGGGAUUUUCUUGCCUGGGCAUUUGUGGCUGCAAAUGGAGGAUCGUUUCCAUCGUGGAGUCCAUACAAAGGUCCAGGAGAAGAUCCUAAGCAGUCAGGCAAAGAUCUGCUCACAGGCUUUCAGAAGCUUUCAGGGAUGUAAACAGGUUCUCACUGCUCCUUGGGUAGCUGGCAGCUCACAGGUCACAUCAUGGGGAAGCCACCCUGCCUGUGGGGAUGAUGUCCCAGGCCUCGCAGGCACUGUUGAGGAAAAAUAAUUUAUGCUCUUGUGACAUACAAGAUGCUCAAAGCCUAUCACCAGUGUUAAUUAAUCCUUAGACUGAUGAGGGAGGUAAGCAUUAUUACAUUAUAAAAGUUUGAAAUUUUUUAAGUGUUUUAUAUACAUGAGGCAGUUAGGCUUAAGUUGUUUCAAGGUCACAGAGAAGUGGAAGUAAGGAGUCUCUUCUUUCUAGCCCUGUGUCCCGACCACUGCUCAGCUAUCCCAGUUUUUGUUUGCUAAACCCUCCCAUAUCCCACUAUUAGUAGUUGUAGUAGCAGUAGUAGUGUAGUCUUGAAAUAGCAAAACGCUGUAGUGCAGUAGCUGUCAUUUCUUUUUUAUUUCACUUUUUGUUUUCAAAGGAGGGCAGCACAGCAGCUCUCAUGUGUAUCAUUAUAAUCGUACCUGUGCUGCAUUUCCAAGGUUUGGAGUUUCUUUCCCUCUUUUUAAUUUCCUUUAUUUUCUUUCAGGAGGAAAGGGAGCGUUUUGGCUGCUCUGCAGGCAGCCCAUAUAAAUAUAUAUGUAAAAUUAUCCUCAUACUGCAGGAUAGAUAGU